CAGCCGCCGCGGUAAUACGUAGGUGGCAAGCGUUGUCCGGAAUUAUUGGGCGUAAAGGGCUCGCAGGCGGUUUCUUAAGUCUGAUGUGAAAGCCCCCGGCUCAACCGGGGAGGGUCAUUGGAAACUGGGAAACUUGAGUGCAGAAGAGGAGAGUGGAAUUCCACGUGUAGCGGUGAAAUGCGUAGAGAUGUGGAGGAACACCAGUGGCGAAGGCGACUCUCUGGUCUGUAACUGACGCUGGGGAGCGAAAGCGUGGGGAGCGAACAGGAUUAGAUACCCCCGUAGUCCCUGUCUCUUAUAC
rnacentral:rRNA from 1 species